UUGGAGCUCCCAAUUAGCCGAAAAGUAAGCUUCGUAGGGCACGCUCCAUUCCGAUAACGAUCGAGGUGGGGAGGUGUUCGAGAGCUGCACUGUCACAGAGGGGAGUCGUUCCGAAGCGUCAGUUCCUUGUCGGUCUUUUAGAGUCUUG